GGAAUUCUUUGCACCAAUCGGGCGAAAGCCUGAUGCAGCGACGCCGCGUGAGGGACGACGGCCUUCAGGUUGUAAACCUCUGUCAGUAGGGAAGAAGAUUGACGGUACCUACUGAGGAAGCUUCGGCUAACUACGUGCCAGCAGCCGCGGUAAGACGUAGGGAGCAAGCGUUGCCCGGAAUUACUGGGCGUAAAGAGCUCGUAGGCGGGGGCGUACGUCUGAGAGGAAAUCUCAAGGCUUAACCUUGGGGCUGUCUCAGAUACGGCGCUUCUUGAGGAUGUGAGAGGAAAGUGGAAUUUCCGGUAUAGCGGUGAAAUGCGUAGAUAUCGGAAGGAACACCAGUGGCGAAGGCGACUUUCUGGCACAUUCCUGAUGCUGAGGAGCGAAAGCGUGGGUAGCGAACGGGAUUAGAUACCCCGGUAGUCCACGCCGUAAACGAUGGAUACUAGGUGUAGGAGGUAUCGACUCCUUCUGUGCCGGAGUUUACACAUUAAGUAUCCCCGCCCUGGGGAGUACGGUCGCAAGGCUG
rnacentral:rRNA from 1 species